rnacentral:rRNA from 1 species
AAAUGCAGCCAUUCCACCUGCAGUUCAGACUAGGGAAUCCAUCUGAAGCAAGGCAGGUUUGGGCCCAGCCAGUACUUGAAUGGGAGACCACCUAGAAAAGCUAGGUUGCUGCUG